rnacentral:lncRNA from 1 species
CUGCUAAGCAGAAUACAGCACCUGCAAAGGCGAUGAGGAAGAAAACAAGCUUGGGAUGUGUAGGGACAUCAGUGCAACUGGUGCACAGUAAACAAGAAAUGACUUGCAGGAAAUGAAGGUGGAGGAAUAGGCAGUCCUGGUGAGAAUGAGAAGUUCAAUGUUUAUGGAACAAUUUGUAGUUUAGCCAGCCUGCUUGUCCAUGAUCAGGCAAACAAGUAAAACAUUCUCUACAGAUGGGAACCACAAUCGAACCAAUAUCAAAUUCACUUAAAACUUCUAGGUAUUCUUUUAUUGCCUCUCUUCUCCCUCAUACUUCAUUUUGCUUUUAACCAUGUUUAAAUGAGGAAAUGCUUGCAAAAAGAUGCUGCAAACGGUACAAUAGAGCUCUGUCAUUCUCUUUGAAUGUCAUUCCUUUUAAUGGAGGCAGUAGAAAAGUGCUUGCUAGCUGGUUCUGGCAACUUUUGCCAACCUGUAAGUUU